CCUGCCGGCCCCGGGGCCAGACGGCGUGGCGGGGCCCCUCACCUGGAUGACCUCGUUGACCUCCCGGAUACAUUCCACCAUGUGCUGCAGGAUCUGCUCGGCCGUGAGCACCUCGUAGCGGUAAUCCUCCUCCUGCUCGUGCCCCGGGCCACCGCCGCCACCGCCGCCGCCGCCACCUCCUCCAGGCCCCAGAGCGCUGCCGCCGCCGCCGCCCGUCUCCCCGCACAGCAGUCCGUCCCGCUCCCCGCCGACGCCCAGCCCGGGCUCCACCAGCUCCACCUCGCCCAGGUCCAGGUUAUCAUCGUCCGGCUCGUCCUCGUCGUCGUCCUCCUCCUCCUCGGCGCCGCUGUCCUCCUCGCUGCACUCCUCGUCCUCGUCGAACUCGUAGUUGUAGCCUUCGUCCGAGUCCAUGGCGCGACGCGCGCGGGCCCGGCGGACGCUGGCCGCGGCGCGGAGAGGGCGGGGACGCCGAAGCCCCGGCUCUCGCUCCGGCUCCGGCUGCCGUCCGGACGCAGGCCUGGUUCCGGCCCCGUGGGCCGCGGCUGCUCCCCCGGUGCGGCGGUUGGAGGUGGGCGGCGGCGGAGGCCGGGAGGGCGCGGAGCAGGGCGGGAGGGAGCGCGGGGGCCGCUUGCUGCCCGCCUCAGUCAGACACCGCUCCGCUCCGGCCUCGGACAGAAAACAGUCCCCAGCGCCACCUCCGCGGCCGCUGCUACCGCUACUGAGCCAACAAAGGGGCGUGCGUCACCGCGUCGCGCUGCGUCAUCGCGUCGGUCCCCUGUGCGUCACCGCGCCACGCCCCUUGGCCCCUGCGUAGUAAGAGGGGAGACCCCACGGCUGGGCUGGAGAAGGACCUGAGCACGGCGGCACGGGGACGGUCGGGCUGGACUGAGAACCCGCAGGUCCUUGUGGCUGAGGCCUUCCGGUCGCUGGGAGGGGCCCGGGGAGCGCCCAGGCAGAGGUUUUUCACCGCCGCCGUCCCCGCUUUGGGGCCUCACAGGCACUGCUCGCCCGCCCAGGCUAGUUCCGGAAAGCCGUCUGCUGCUCUGCUAAAAUUCCGGUUGCCUGAGUUACUGCCUGGAGGGUGGUAGUACGCGGAACUCCAAAUUGUAUGACAGGUCUCCAUAAAAACUUGAAGACUGGAAAAAAGAGAAGAAAGAGGAGGGAGAGGCUGAAUGUCCAUUUCUUCUGCACCACUCCUUAUCUGGGACUUCUCUGAGGCACAUGCCUAUCUCACCUCCCACAUCUGCAGUUUUUAAUACUGAAUUACAAGUUAAGAUUGAUACAGAAAUCAAAACAGACAGGCUACAAAGCCCACAGUACAGCGUGCUUGUCACUGCAUGAAGAACUGCAGCUUGGAGUUAGCUGCCACAGCCUAGGAGCAGCAGUGCUGGGUGUGUCCCAAGAACACCAAAGCUUUCAGAAAUGAAAAAGCUUGUCUUCUGUCUUUUACUUAUUUUUGUUUUUUUGUUCUUCUGGUAUCUUCUUUUGGAAACAAUACCAUGAUUUAAAAGUCAUAAUAGGGCUCUGGACAGCUCAGUAUCACAGUAUUUGCCUAGCAAACACAAGGGACUGUGCUCAGUUCUCAGCACAAAACAGCUACAACCAACUUUCCAACUCCAGCAACCAAAUGUCACCUCUUCCAGUCAGGUUUUCAAGAUGGCAGAGAUCAAAUUUCUCUAUACCCUCAGUCAAUAUCAGAAGAGUGAUAAUGGAAAGCCUAUGGUAUUUGACUUCUUGUCUAGAAUUUUCUAUGAAUUGCUUCACAUUUUGCUUUUAUGAACAGCUAAUAUUGAGCUGGCUGGCUGAGUGGGUCAACAUUUCUUAGCUUCGUGGCAUGAACUUGAUCCCUAGGACCCACAUGAUGGAAGAAAAACCAAUUCUUACAAGUUUUCCUUUGCCCUACAUAUGUACAUGUAUGUAUGUACAUUCACAUACUAAAUAAAAAAAAUAGGGAGUUUAACAUGCUUAGAAGUGUGAGUAACAUCGUUGCUGAAACACUAGAAUUUCCAUUUUAAAGAGUUUUAAAGGGCAAAAAAAUACUAAAAUCACCACAUUGUCUCUCUGUGUUCCUAAAUAAAAUGGUCCCAAAGUGC